UGAAUGCCUGAGCCAGGUCAGGUCCCGUGCCUUCUCGGCUCGGAACCCUCCGCGGCUCCCAUCUUACUCAAGCUCUGCUCAGAAUGCUGGGGCCGAGUCCAUCCCGUGACCUGCAGAAGGAGAUUCUGACACAUCCUGGCCUCUGGGGCCACCAGUCAGGACCCAGGACUCUGAGGGGACUGUUGCCAUCAUGGCCAUUUUACACAUGAGGAAACUGAGCCUGAGGCAGGUGCACUGUGUGGAGGAAAUAUUUGCUGAAUGAAUGAAUGAACAGAUGAAUGAGUCAUCAUCCUGGAAGCCAGGACUGCUGUGGUCAGCCUUUGACCCUUCCCUCUGCCUGGAAUGCCCUACCUGAUGGCUGGCCCCUUCUUGUCAUUUAGACUCCAGUUAAUGUUGCCUCCUCCUGGAAGCCCUCUCUCCUGCCCUGUUGACAUCAACCCAUCAGCAUAAUUUUAUUCUCUAAACAGCCCAUUUCUUCUUUUUACCACUCACCUCCCUGCUGAGGGCAGACCUCACCUCCCUUACCACUGUAUCCCCACCCCUCGCACUCAGCACCUGGCACAUAGUAGGUAAUAAAUAUUUGCUGUAAAUCGAUAUUGUAAUACAUAUUUGCAGUAUUUGCUGAAUAAAUGAAUGAAACCCCUGUCCUAUUACAAAUGAGGAGAUUGAA